rnacentral:rRNA from 1 species
UACGUAGGGUGCGAGCGUUAAUCGGAAUUACUGGGCGUAAAGCGUGCGCAGGUCGGUCUUGCAAGACAGGUGUGAAAUCCCCGGGCUUAACCUGGGAACUGCACUUGUGACUGCAAGGCUGGAGUACGACAGAGGGGGGAUGGAAUUCCGCGUGUAGCAGUGAAAUGCGUAGAUAUGCGGAGGAACACCGAUGGCGAAGGCAGCCCCCUGGGUCAAAACUGACGCUCAUGCACGAAAGCGUGGGGAGCAAACAGGAUUAGAUACCCUUGUAGU